GAUGAACGCUGGCGGCGUGCCUAAUACAUGCAAGUCGAGCGAACAGACGAGGAGCUUGCUCCUCUGACGUUAGCGGCGGACGGGUGAGUAACACGUGGAUAACCUACCUAUAAGACUGGGAUAACUUCGGGAAACCGGAGCUAAUACCGGAUAAUAUAUUGAACCGGAUGGUUCAAUAGUGAAAGACGGGUUUGCUGUCACUUAUAGAUGGAUCCGCGUCGCAUUAGCUAGUUGGUAAGGUAACGGCUUACCAAGGCAACGAUGCGUAGCCGACCUGAGAGGGUGAUCGGCCACACUGGAACUGAGACACGGUCCAGACUCCUACGGGAGGCAGCAGUAGGGAAUCUUCCGCAAUGGGCGAAAGCCUGACGGAGCAACGCCGCGUGAGUGAUGAAGGUCUUCGGAUCGUAAAACUCUGUUAUUAGGGAAGAACAAAUGUGUAAGUAACUAUGCACGUCUUGACGGUACCUAGUCAGAAAGCCACGGCUAACUACGUG
rnacentral:rRNA from 1 species